rnacentral:rRNA from 1 species
AACGAACGCUGGCGGCAUGCCUAACACAUGCAAGUCGAACGAGACCUUCGGGUCUAGUGGCGCACGGGUGCGUAACGCGUGGGAACCUGCCCUUAGGCUCGGAAUAACUUCCCGAAAGGGGUGCUAAUACCGGAUAAUGUCUUCGGACCAAAGAUUUAUCGCCUUUGGAUGGGCCCGCGUUGGAUUAGCUAGUUGGUAGGGUAAAAGCCUGCCAAGGCGACGAUCCAUAGCUGGUUUGAGAGGAUGAUCAGCCACACUGGGACUGAGACACGGCCCAGACUCCUACGAGAGGCAGCAGUGGGGGAUAUUGGACAAUGGGCGAAAGCCUGAUCCAGCACUGCCGCGUGAGUGGUGAAGGCCUUAGGGUUGUAAAGCUCUUUUACCCGGGAUGAUAAUGACAGUACCGGGAGAAUAAGCUCCGGCUAACUCCGUG